UACGUAGGGUGCAAGCGUUGUCCGGAAUUAUUGGGCGUAAAGAGCUCGUAGGUGGCGGGUCACGUCGGGUGUGAAAGCCCGGGGCUUAACCCCGGGUCUGCAUUCGAUACGGGCUUGCUAGGGUCCGGCAGGGGAGACUGGAAUUCCUGGUGUAGCGGUGAAAUGCGCAGAUAUCAGGAGGAACACCGGUGGCGAAGGCGGGUCUCUGGGCUGUAACUGACGCUGAGGAGCGAAAGCGUGGGUAGCGAACAGG
rnacentral:rRNA from 1 species